AUGAAGAUGCGCAAGGUGCUCACUUCUGAGAUAAUUUGCCCCUCCCGCCACAAGUGGCUCCACGACAAGCGCGCCGACGAAGCUGACAACUUGAUGCGCUACAUCUACAACCUCACCGCCGGGGGGUCAUCUUCAACGUCGGGACUAGGCGCCAACGUCGAUGUCAGGCAUGUCGCGCGGCAUUACUGCGGCAACGUCAUCCGCCGGCUUGUCUUCGGCCAACGGUACUUUGGGGAGCCUCAGCCGGACGGCGGGCCGGGGCCGAUGGAGAUGGAGCACAUGGACGCUUCCUUCGCCCUCCUAGGGUUCACCUUCGCGUUCUGCGUCAGCGACUACCUCCCGUGUCUACUUGGCCUGGACCUCGACGGCCACGAGAAAAUUAUUAAGGAGGCCAACACAAAAGUGGAUAGACUGCACAACGUGGUCAUCGAAGAGCGUUGGAGGCAGUGGAACAGCGGCGAGAGGCAGGACGGGGUCCAGGACUUCCUUGACGUUCUCAUCACGCUCGCCAACGGUGAUGGCAAGCCGUUGCUCAGCAUCGAUGAGGUCAAAGCACAGUCCAAGGGCAUAAUAUUAGCGGCCAUAGAUAACCCGUCAAACGCAGUGGAGUGGGCGCUGGCGGAGAUGGUGAACAACCCAGAACUGCUGGCCAAGGCGGUGGAGGAGAUGGACCGGGUGGUCGGUCGCGAGCGACUGGUGCAAGAGUCGGACAUCAUGCAUCUCAACUAUCUCAAGGCGUGCAUACGUGAGGCAUUUCGCCUCCACCCAAUCGCUCCCUUCAACCUGCCGCACGUCGCGAUUGCCGACACCAUUGUUGCGGGCUACCGUGUGCCCAAGGGUAGCCACGUCAUCCUCAGCCGGCUGGCCCUGGGCCGGAACCCCGCCGUCUGGGAUGAACCGCUCCACUUCAAGCCAGAGCGCCAUAUGGGAGACAACAUCAAUGUGGUGCUUACCGAGAGCGAAUUGCGGUUCAUCUCCUUCAGCACCGGACGGCGGGGAUGCAUCGCGGCAUCACUAGGAACAACCAUGAGUGUCAUGCUCUUCGGCAGGCUCUUGCAUGGCUUCACCUGGACCAAACCGGCUGGGGUGUCGGCCAUCAAUCUCAGCGAAUCGAAGCACGACCUCUUCAAAGAGAAACCGCUAGUGCUACAUGCUGAGCCACGUCUUGCAGUGCACCUCUACCCUCUCAUUAUGCAUCGUUGA
rnacentral:rRNA from 1 species